rnacentral:rRNA from 1 species
AUUGAACGCUGGCGGCAUGCCUUACACAUGCAAGUCGAACGGUAACAGGUCUUCGGAUGCUGACGAGUGGCGAACGGGUGAGUAAUACAUCGGAACGUGCCCGAGAGUGGGGGAUAACGAGGCGAAAGCUUUGCUAAUACCGCAUACGAUCUCAGGAUGAAAGCAGGGGACCGCAAGGCCUUGCGCUCACGGAGCGGCCGAUGGCAGAUUAGGUAGUUGGUGGGAUAAAAGCUUACCAAGCCGACGAUCGGUAGCUGGUCUGAGAGGACGACCAGCCACACUGGGACUGAGACACGGCCCAGACUCCUACGGGAGGCAGCAGUGGGGAAUUUUGGACAAUGGGCGCAAGCCUGAUUCAGCCAUGCCGCGUGCAGGAUGAAGGCCUUCGGGUUGUAAACUGCUUUUGUACGGAACGAAAAGACUCUGGUUAAUACCUGGGGUCCGUGACGGUACCGUAAGAAUAAGCACCGGCUAACUACGUGCCAGCCGCCGCCGUAAGAC